rnacentral:rRNA from 1 species
CCUACGGGUGGCAGCAGUGAGGAAUAUUGGUCAAUGGGCGUAAGCCUGAACCAGCCAAUUCGCGUGAGGGAUGAAGGUUCUAUGGAUCGUAAACCUCUUUUAUAAGGGCAUAAAGUGUGGAACGUGUCCUGUUUUGUAUGUACCUUAUGAUUAAGGACCGGCUAAUUCCGUGCCAGCAGACGCGGUACUACGGAAGGUCCGGGCGUUAUCCGGAUUGAUUGGGUUUAAAGGGAGCGUAGGCCGCUUGGCAAGCGUGCUGUGAAAUGUCCGGGCUUAACCCGGGACUUGCAGCGCGUACUGGCGUGCUUGAGUGCGCGGAAGGCAGGCGGAAUUCGACGUGUAGCAGUGAAAUGCUUAGAUAUGACGAAGAACCCCGAUUGCGAAGGCAGCUUGCUGCAGCGGAACUGACGCUGAUGCUCGAAAGCGCGGGUAUCGAACAGGAUUAGAUACCCGAGUAGUC